UUUUCUCUCCGGAUUUUUGUUUUACACUAAAAACGGUCACACUUUCGCUGAAAUAUUCAAAUUUACGUCGCAAUUUGUUUGUUUACUAACAAAAAAUUUGUAAUAAUAAAUGAUCUGUUCUGUGCGCGAGUAUACGCCAUUAUCAUUCAGGCUCAGCUUGUUGUAUGUUGUAUGUUGUAUCGGCGUCCAUACGGGACUCAUCAGGUGGAAUGGAACAGGCCGCCGACGCCGGGCGUUUGGCCAUGUCGAUGCAGGAGCUGGCUUUUGACCUGGAUGUUUUCCUCGUACGACACAGAAGAAAGAAGACGUGGAUCUCAAUGUGGAGCGCACCUGCAGGCCUGGAAUUCAACACGGCACCAAAAUGCCCCUUCUGGAUGUUAAACAAAACGUGAGAGAUCUCAACUACAAAAAAGACUCCAAGAAGCACUGAACCCAAAGUUCUUACCUUCCGCGAUAAGUUUGUUUUCGACAAGAUGAAGGCUGCUACCAUGGGGACUGGAGCAAGAAGGUUCCCCUUGACGUGGCUUGUUCGGUGGACGAAGUCUCCUGCCUUGCCAACGAUCAAAAUCAUAUUACAAGCAUCUACAAUCACUUAUAUAGAUAACGCUUAAGCUGAAUCACCUGCUAAAGCUGGAGACAGCGGACAUUACCGCUAAAGAAGGGUUGCUGGACUGCUGUGACCAAAUUCAAACAGAAAACUGUCCUGCGACGUGCCGAAAUUGGUUAGGUCGUCAUACAAGACGGCACCAAGAUCUUCUUCCAGGAAGGCCUGCAACGUGUGUUGCUCUUGAUCCAAGUCUGGUCGAUAGUCAAACGUACUACCUCCGCAGAGCAUCGAUCUAUGCAUUCAUUGCAAUGGUCUGUCUCCAGCUCUAGCAUCAUUUGGGAGUCGAAGAAGGAGGGCAAAAAGCGCUUUAAGGAGAUGACCGUACACGACACCGACGCUCUGAAGG